rnacentral:rRNA from 1 species
UACGUAGGGUGCGAGCGUUGUCCGGAAUUAUUGGGCGUAAAGGGCUCGUAGGCGGUUUGUCGCGUCGGGAGUGAAAACCAUGGGCUUAACUCAUGGCUUGCUUCCGAUACGGGCAGACUAGAGGUAUGCAGGGGAGAACGGAAUUCCUGGUGUAGCGGUGAAAUGCGCAGAUAUCAGGAGGAACACCAAUGGCGAAGGCAGCACUCUGGGACGUGACUGACGCUGAGACGCGAAAGCGUGGGGAGCAAACAGG